CAGCAGCCACGGGAAUACGUAGGGUGCAAGCGUUAAUCGGAAUUACUGGGCGUAAAGCGUGCGCAGGCGGUUUGUUAAGACAGAUGUGAAAUCCCCGGGCUCAACCUGGGAACUGCAUUUGUGACUGGCAAGCUAGAGUGUGGCAGAGGGGGGUGGAAUUCCGCGUGUAGCAGUGAAAUGCGUAGAUAUGCGGAGGAACACCGAUGGCGAAGGCAGCCCCCUGGGCCAACACUGACGCUCAUGCACGAAAGCGUGGGGAGCAAACAGGAUUAGAUACCCCUGUAGUCCCUGUCUCUUAUAA
rnacentral:rRNA from 1 species